AAAAAGCCCGCUUUGCGUCGGCAUAAGCGGGCUUCGUGUACGGGGAUGCUGUGAGCGUCGAUGGCUGUGCUGCUGGCCCCAUCGUUCGCUUUAGCUGUUUUGGGUUUCCCCGCGUCCGCAAGCUGAGAUCAAAUCGACGCAAGACCCGAUAGUAACACCGCAUGCGC
rnacentral:sRNA from 1 species